ACAUGCACAUUUACUCAUAGGCGUAGCCAGGAUUUUAUGAGGGGCGGUUCGUUUGAAGAAAAAGUGGACCUGUAGGACUACUCUGAUUGGUUCAUUGGCGGUGGUACACAUAACUUCAAAUGUGUAAACAAGCUAAUUAGCUAGCUAGUUAAAACACUGCUGUGUGAGGUAAAUCUGUGUUACCAAAUAGGCGGUUGUGAGUGGAGAAAGAGCAACACACUGAGAGGGGAAUAGCGUGUGUGUCCAGUCUUCUAUUCAGAACUCAUCCCAGACACGAACGAACACUUCGGUACUCCCGAGUCCCGCCCGAACAUACACAAAAAAAAAAAAAAAACACCGAAGAA